rnacentral:precursor_RNA from 12 species
AUAUAGGUAUUUGGAGAGUCUGUGGCCCAUUCGUAAAAAUGGCUGUGCCAUGGUACAUAUUCAUAUCACAGCCAUUUUUGACGAGUUGGGCUGCGGGGCAGUUCUCUGGCAUCUUA